rfam:Pseudooctadecabacter jejudonensis strain CECT 8397 genome assembly, contig: 0003
UUCCGACCACAACGGCUUCCUGACGUGGAUCGGCAAACCUAACGGAGCA